UACGUAGGGUGCAAGCGUUGUCCGGAAUUAUUGGGCGUAAGAGCUCGUAGGCGGCUUGUCUCGUUUGCUGUUAAAAUCCGGGGCUCAACCCCGGACUUGCAGUGGGUACGGGCAGACUAGAGUGUGGUAGGGGAGACUGGAAUUCCUGGUGUAGCGGUGAAAUGCGCAGAUAUCAGGAGGAACACCGAUGGCGAAGGCAGGUCUCUGGGCCACUACUGACGCUGAGAAGCGAAAGCAUGGGGAGCGAACAGG
rnacentral:rRNA from 1 species